GGAGAGAUGGCUGAGCUGGUCUAAGGCGCACGACUGGAAAUCGUGUGUACGUUGAUAGCGUACCGAGGGUUCGAAUCCCUCUCUCUCCGCCA
rnacentral:tRNA from 1 species